GAUGAACGCUGGCGGCGUGCCUAAUACAUGCAAGUCGAGCGAACGGACGAGAAGCUUGCUUCUCUGAUGUUAGCGGCGGACGGGUGAGUAACACGUGGAUAACCUACCUAUAAGACUGGGAUAACUUCGGGAAACCGGAGCUAAUACCGGAUAAUAUUUUGCACCGCAUGGUUCAAAAGUGAAAGACGGUCUUGCUGUCACUUAUAGAUGGAUCCGCGCUGCAUUAGCUAGUUGGUAAGGUAACGGCUUACCAAGGCAACGAUGCAUAGCCGACCUGAGAGGGUGAUCGGCCACACUGGAACUGAGACACGGUCCAGACGCCUACGGGAGGCAGCAGUAGGGAAUCUUCCGCAAUGGGCGAAAGCCUGACGGAGCAACGCCGCGUGAGUGAUGAAGGUCUUCGGAUCGUAAAACUGUGUUAUUAGGGAAGAACAUAUGUGUAAGUAACUGUGCACAUCUUGACGGUACCUAAUCAGAAAGCCACGGCUAACUACGUG
rnacentral:rRNA from 1 species